AUUGAACGCUGGCGGCAUGCCUAACACAUGCAAGUCGAACGAGUGGCGGACGGGUGAGUAAUGUAUGGGCAACUGCCUGAUGGAGGGGGCUAACUACUGGAAACGGUAGCUAAUACCGCAUACCAUCGGAUGUACCCAGAUGGGAUUAGCUAGUAGGUGGGGUAAAGGCUUACCUCGGCGACGAUACCUAGCUGGUCUGAGAGGCUGACCAGCAACACUGGAACUGAGACACGGUCCAGACUCCUACGGGAGGCAGCAGUGGGGAAUAUUGCACAAUGGGGGCAAGCCUGAUGCAGCCAGGCCGCGUGUAUGAAGAAGGCCUUCGGGUUGUAAAGUACGUUCAGCGGGGAGGCGUUACCCGCAGAAGAAGCACCGGCUAACUCCGUGCCAGCAGCCGCGGUAAUAC
rnacentral:rRNA from 1 species